GAGACGAAACAAGUGAUGUGGAGUAAAACUUAUAAAAGCGACCUCAGUUCGGAUUGAAGGCUGAAAUUCGCCUUCAUGAAGUCGGAAUUGCUAGUAAUGGCAGGUCAGCAUACUGCCGUGAAUACGUUCCCGGGCCUUGUACACACCGCCCGUCACACCAUGAGAGUUGGAGAUACCCGAAGCCUAUGAGCUAACUUUUAGAGGCAGUAGUCGAAGGUAGAAUCAAUGAUUGGGGUGAAGUCGUAACAAGGUAGC
rnacentral:rRNA from 1 species